rnacentral:lncRNA from 1 species
AUGUGUAUAGGUGCUGUAUACAUCUGUGUGUCUGUGCCUAUUGGAAACACAUGCUGCUUGUUGGCCAUGGGAGCACAAAUUUGCAGCUGCCUUUUCCAUGCUGUUGGGCUGCUGGAUUCAACAACAGAAACCAGUCUUACCAAAGUGAAGAGCCAAAUACAAGUGAAUUGGGGAACUACAGAAAUGGCCUUAGGGGCUCUUUAUUCACUGAUCAAAACAAUGUGUACAGGGAGACAGGAGAGCAGUGUCAAAAAACAUGAAAUCACAGUCACUUCAGUUUUCCUUAUGACCUGA